rnacentral:lncRNA from 1 species
UGCGGCAUAUUUUAAACAUUUAUAUGCCUGGAACUUUUAAGAGUUUUAACUUACACUAAUAUUCAUUACUGCAUACCUUGUACGCUUACCUCGACCUAAAGGUUUUCUGUAAGAGAUAACUUUGUCCUGGUAAAAUAUGUCCGUGCAGACAUACAUUAGGCCAAAAAAAAUAUAUGUAUGUUUCCUGUUUCCCGACCAACCCUGACUCAAAGCCCCCCGACCCUAGAUCUUUUUAUUCAAUUCCGGAAAAAAAUCAUUUCCGGUCCGGAAAAAUUCGUUUCCGGUCCGAUGCAGAUCCGUAUUUUACUAUACCCAAACAAUCAAAAUGGCUGCUCCCAGCAAAAAUGUGCUACAAUUAAGGUUCAUCAUAACAAACGGACAAAUAUGGCUGUAUUUACAUGCCAAAAAUUACUCUGAGUACAGACUUACCUGUGAACGUGGAAAAGUUUUAAUGCCUGGCAUCCACUAGAUAUAAUAAAGUUAAAUGCAUUUUGAGUUUCAGAAAGAUAAAAUCUCUUUUGGAUUUUGAUGGGCAUUUUUUUCCCUUCAUGCAGAAGGUGUGAAAAUUAACUAAGUUGUGGUACAACUUUGAGAUGCACCCUCAGGUAAAAAAACGGUUUAUAUUGUUUUGAUUGUCCUUAAUUGACAUGGACAAGAGGUAUCUUCACAACUAUAGGUGAGUUAAAGAGUUUAUCUGAGUCAGCUGUGAGUGGACAGUAUCAAAGUAAUUCAGGUGUUUGUUUAUUUUUGCACCUUCUGCAGAAAGGAAAAAAAAUGCCCAUCAAAAACCAAGAAAGAUUUUAUCUUUCUUAAACACAAAAUGCAUUGAACUUUUAUAUAUCUAGUGGAUGCUAGGCAUUAAAACUUUCCAAACAGCACAGGUAAGUCUGUACAGAGUAGUUUUUGAGGUGAAAAUACGGCCAUAUUUGUCCAUUUGUUAUGAUGAACCUUAAGGUUUAGAAAAUGUUGGCACUGGGAGGAUUAUUCAAAUAAAGCUUCUUUAAAGAGAUUAAAUAAUUUUAGGGUACAGGACCCUAACCAAACAUGACAUUUAACCAUCUGCAAAUCUGACAGGGAGUGCAAAAAUAAUAAAAAAAAAAAAAAAAAAAAAAACCCGACCUACCGACCCUGAUUUUUUUGCCUUGGCAGCAGGAAACAGACAUAUAUUUUUUUUUGGCCUUACUAGUAGAAAAAGUCCCUAAAGAGUUUAAAUGUUCGUGUGUGCAUGGGUUUCCAAUAAAAAUGAUACAAGACUUGAAACUCAGUUGUCCAUAUUUUACAUCGCAUUUAUAAAUGAUCUGUAUGGAAAAACUUGGUGUUUUUACUGCCAAAUAUUCUCCACUUUACAGAACUUUGGUUCAUGUCAGAUAUAAAUAAUAUAUCAAUGCUGGUCGAAGGCAUAGUUCAACAUAAUUGUCCUGAUCUACAAAUCAUCAAAGGCCAUUCCUACAUAGGAUACAACG